GAUGAAGAACGCAGCGAAAUGCGAUAAGUAAUGUGAAUUGCAGAAUUCAGUGAAUCAUCGAAUCUUUGAACGCACAUUGCGCCCGCCAGUAUUCUGGCGGGCAUGCCUGUCUGAGCGUCAUUUCAACCCUCAUGCCCCUAGGGCGUGGUGUUGGGGAUCGGCCAAAGCCCGCGAGGGACGGCCGGCCCCUAAAUCUAGUGGCGGACCCGUCGUGGCCUCCUCUGCGAAGUAGUGAUAUUCCGCAUCGGAGAGCGAUGAGCCCCUGCCGUUAAACCCCCAACUUUCCAAGGUUGACCUCAGAUCAGGUAGGAAUACCCGCUGAACUUAAGCAUAUCAAUAAGGGAGGA
rnacentral:misc_RNA from 1 species